CAUUUGCAUGAGUGAGUGUGUGUGUGUGUGUGUGUGUGUGUGUGUGUGUCUAUUGUUGAUGAAGCCCUUAAUGGCUGAAAGCUGUAAUUGUGAGAGUCUUUUUAUUGAUGUCAUAAUAUGUGUGUAAAAGCAUAUCUGUUGUGCUAUUGGCAGAGAUACUAUGUAAUACUAUAUUACCCAACACUAUAGUAUAACAUGCAACUGUCAGCCAUGUGCAGUGCUGGCAGUAUGGAGGAGUUUUCAGUUUUUAUUUUGUGGUGACAUGAUGCUGUCAGGAUUAAAUCAUGUAAGUCAUCGAGAGCACCUGUGAGCUGAAUGACUUGCCCAUACCUACAUCCAGUGGUAUUUGCAAUUGGAAAUGUAAUCCUGAUGUUGAGACAUAACAAACUCCCAAAGGCUUUGAGCGAACUACCGAUGAAUAAGUUUAAGCAAACAAUAGAAGUGUGGCUCAAAUGUACGCCAUAUUACUCACUUGAUGAGUUUCAAAACAGUGACACAAAAGAGAUAUGCUACAUGAAACAAAAAACUGCCAUAUGAAUUAUACCUAUAUGUUUGCGACAGUAAUGUACCAACAAAGACUUUUUACAUGGAUAUGUAAGAUGUACCAUAAAUAUAUCUUGAUACUAUUGUAUAAUUAACUGUUAUGAUUUAUUAUUAUUAUUAAUAUUAUUACUAUUGUGAAUGAAUAAUUGUUGUAUUAUAAAUAUUACUUUAGCAAGAAUAUCUGCUUGCCCUGCACAGGCACAAUUAUGUACAAUAAUAAUUAUUGUAAUUUAAAAAAAAAAGUAUUGAACACACUGACGAUGCCAAUUGUAUGGAAAACAUGCUGAAAGGCAAAUAAAGAUUCUAUUCUAUUCUAAGCCUCAGCAGAGGUAAUAAAUGAUGCAUUAUGCAAGCUUUCAAUAUUUAAGUGGUCAGUGUCACCUGUGAGAGUACAAAUAGCAUAAACAUGUGUGUUAAUGCACAUACUGCACCAAAAUAACGUAUGGCAACAUUCAUGUUGCUGUUGCAUGUUUGAAUAAAAUGUAUCUCUGUGUUCCAGUAGGUUUGCUCACUCUAGUAUCAUGCUCAAUUCAGUGGCUGAUGGUAGCAGCAAAAUUGACAGAAGUAGCAUGAUGUUGUAUGACUCUGGACAGAUAUGCACUUGUUCUGUGUCACUUCUAAUUACAGACCAUCAAUUAAUGCAGUGUACACUGGCAUUGUUGACAUAAUUCUGUGUUGUCUUAACUGUACUCAGUUUUGUUUCAUGUGUCUUUAACUCUGUGUGUCAUACCUUCUUUCAUACAAAAGAAGACAAUAUGCUAAAAUUGGUGGUAUCUGCUAAUU